GAAAUGGUGAAUAUGGAAUAAAGUUUUUAACUGUAAAAUUCUCAAAACUCCAAUUUCCAAGUAGGAGGAAGGAUCUGCACUGAAGCCCUCUGAACCCUGGGAACAUGCUUCUGUAUGAUACUAAAUGCCACAUGCUGGACGGAGAGAGAGAGCAUACCCAUUGUUGAACUGCUGAAAACACUGUAUUUGAACAGCACUGGGUUCAUGUGGUUGAGGCAUUUCCCUUCAUUUCUCUGUGCUUUUCAGAGAAAACUUCUCUCCAUCAUAUGGCACAAAUACAGCAGGUCUGCCUUUUCACUUUGACUGUCCCACUUCUCAAGAAUAUACUAGAUCUAACCUGUCCAAACAUGAAGACUCUAGCACCAUCUCAAUUUCUUCCUUCUCUAGAGGCUCCAAAGUCCUGCAUACCCAGCCUUUGGCUCUCACAGGCAGGACUGCCCAUUCCAGAGAAGGUACAUCAACAAAAGAAGGUGAGUUCAUGCUGCCAAGAACAUCAGAGAGGAAAGAGACCAAGUCCACACUGGCCUACAGAUGGCUCUCUUCAAUCAGCUGACUCUCCCACCUCUUGCCCAGAAUUUUGCUUCAAUUUUAAGAACA